CUCAUCUGCUAUCUUAGCCUGAGAGGGGGAUGAGUAUCACGAGGAAAGAGAGAGGCUGGCCCUAAUAUGUGACGUAAAACCUCCCACCGGUGGGAUGAAAGAAGUGGACCUGUUCCGCCCCCGUCCUGGUGGUCAGCUUACAGACAGUGGCUCCUCUUCCUGUUUGUCCUCCUGCUUGGGGACAUCCAGCCGGUCUAUGAAGCUCUGCAGCUCCUUCCUGAAGGCUUUCAUCUGCGCGGUGAUACGAUACAGCAGCUCAUGUUCUCGGAUCCUGUUGAGCACAGCCUUGCAAACAGCUCCCCGUUGGUGACAUAUACUCGUGCCUCGGCGAUGAUAGUGCUGGUGUCAGCGAUGAGCCUAUCGAUGGUCCGACCCAGCCUCUCCGCCUCGAUGCG